CCUCAGGAUCAGCUCCACUCAGCGUAUAGGCAUCGGUGUGGCACACUGCAGUGGCAAUGAUCUGCCAGGAUAUUAAAACAAUGAGCAUGUAAGUGUGUAUGACUGCAAUUCAGAGUGAGGUAAAGGUCAAAGGAAAGGCAUUUUACUUUAAUACCAUAUUUCAUUGAUUCUAAGAUAUAUAUUUUUUUCUUAUUUAAACCUCUUUAAAAUCAGCCUGUGCUUGCAAUCCAUGCCAUCUUAACAAUUACAAUUGGCAGCAUAUUUUUAGGAGUAUGUAAUAGAAAUGCUGUAUUUACAUACAAUGAAACAUGGCAUCUCUGUUUUCCUUUUCAGUGCAUUAGGGACACUGUGCCCUCAGGUGUGAAGAGGAACAUUGCCUGAGUGCGAAACAGGUGGAAGCCAUUUCAUGGCUGGCUUCCCUCAGGACUGCUGGGAACUGUGAUUUUAAAAAGUUUUGGGAUCAGCAGAAAGAGGAGCAUCCUACAAAGUCACCUGAAACUCAAACUACAGAAGAUAAAUUGCAGUAAACAUGGAUAUGGCUGCUCAGCCCCCAGAUCAAACCUGAAAAGAUGGAGAGGAGGCUGCAAAGUGUGCCUUGGGAUUUAUCCUCUGCAGACCUCAGAUCUACUCAGCUAUCCAGAGACCUAAUUGGACUGCCUGUCGCACAAGCUGUGCAACCAUAGCUCACUGCAUCGGCCAGCUCCCGGGCCCAAGCGAUCCCUCAGCCUGAGCAGCUGGGACUUCAGGGACCUGCCACCUUGUCCUGCUAUUAUCUAUCAUUUCUUUGGAACGCCAACAUUUAAGGUCGUAUAUCUUCUUAGAAAAUGCCUAAAGUUUGGAAAGCAUUAAAACAAUCAGCAA